rnacentral:rRNA from 1 species
CAGUGAUCUGGUUCUACCGGCCGGACGAACUUUAAGUUUAACCCCCCGAAACUGAUGUGAGCUACUUCGAAACAGCUAUAAGAGCCAACCCAUCUCUGUUGCAAUAGAGUGGGAAGAUUUCCAAGUAGAGGCGACAAACCUACCGCACUCAGAAAUAGCUGGUUACUCAAGAAAAGAAUCUUAGUUCAACCUUAAAUUUAUCCAAGUUUUUCCAAACGCUCAUAAAAUUUAAGAGUUAUUCAAAUAAGGCACAGCUUAUUUGAAACAGGAUACAACCUACACCACAGGGUAAUACGCCAAAACAAAAUGAUUAGUGGGCCUAAAAGCAGCCACCAUUUACAAAAGCGUUAAAGCUUUACAUUUCCUUUUUAUAAUCCCCCGCACCACUUAAAACCCUUCCCCAAUAUUGAGUAAUUUCAUAAAAAUAUGAAAGAUAUUAUGCUAGAACUAGUAACAAGAAACAACCUUUCUCCAAAAUGUAAACUUAAGCCAUAUCUGAUAAACAACUGGCAAUUAACGAAGCUGAACCUACUUUAGCAACCCACCAAGAAAACCCUAUAAAUCAAAACGUUAACCUUACACAAGAACAUUAAUGGAAAGAUUAAAAGAAAAAGAAGGAACUCGGCAAGUCUUAACCCCGCCUGUUUACCAAAAACAUCGCCUCUUGAAAUUAACUAUAAGAGGUCCAGCCUGCCCAGUGAUAAUAUUUAACGGCCGCGGUACUCUAACCGUGCGAAGGUAGCAUAAUCACUUGUUCUUUAAAUGAGGACCUGUAUCAAUGGCAUCACGAGGGUUACACUGUCUCCUUUUUCCAAUCAGUGAAACUGAUCUCCCCGUGAAGAAGCGGGGAUUAUUUUAUAAGACGAGAAGACCCCAUGGAGCUUUAAACCCAACUGCACUCCUAUCUUUCUAAUACCACUUAAAUCACGGACCCUGCACACUUGGUUUUAGGUUGGGGUGACCGCGGAGCAUAAUCUAGCCUCCACGAUGAACGGGACUACCCCCUUAUCUAAGAGCCACACCUCUAAGAACUAGUAUUCUAACAUAAAAUGAUCCGACAAUCGAUCAACGAACCAAGUUACCCUGGGGAUAACAGCGCAAUCUACUUCAAGAGUCCCUAUCGCCAAGUGGGUUUACGACCUCGAUGUUGGAUCAGGGUAUCCUAGUGGUGCAGCA